rnacentral:rRNA from 1 species
AUUGAACGCUGGCGGCAGGCCUAACACAUGCAAGUCGAGCGAGCGGCGGACGGGGGAGUAAUGCCUGGGAAUUGCCCAGUCGGGGGGGAUACCAGUUGGAAACGACUGCUAAUACCGCAUACGAUUGGUUGGCCAAGGUGGGAUUGGCUGUUUGGUGGGGUAAUGGCUCACCAAGGCGACGAUCCCUAGCUGGUCUGAGAGGAUGAUCAGCCACACUGGAACGGAGAAACGGUCCAGACUCCUACGGGAGGCAGUAGUGGGGAAUAUUGCACAAUGGGGGAAACCCUGAUGCAGCCAUGCCGCGUGUGUGAAGAAGGCCUUCGGGUUGUAAAGCACUUUCAGCGAGGAGGCGUUACUCGCAGAAGAAGCACCGGCUAACUCCGUGCCAGCCGCCGCGGUAAUAC